rnacentral:misc_RNA from 1 species
AAGUCGUAACAAGGUUUCCGUAGGUGAACCUGCGGAAGGAUCAUUAUGAAUUGUUGUUUUGACUCUUUUUUAUUAAAGAGUCUCAACUCCUUUUCUGUGAACUGGAUUCUUUUUGUGCGCUUACUUUUUGUAAAGUGAGUGUUGCAAAUCGAAUUGCUCUUAUUUGUUUUCUGUUGUGAUUGUUCUUACAAGUUUUCUUUUUUAAUGAAAGACAACUUUCAGCAAUGGAUCUCUUGGCUCUU